GUCGGAUGGAGUCUUCUCGGACCCGAGGGCAGCGAGGGCGGCCGGAAGGGACGCUGGUCCGGAAUGUCCCGACCCCGGGGUUGCGCACGCCCGGCUCCGGGGGCUCCAGAUACUUCUCAUUUCGCCCAAGAGGAGGACAGAGACAGGACAGUGAAGGAAGUUCAUUCGCGGCCCAGACAAACCCAGGCCAUGGUUUCCUAUGCCGUCACGUCUGCCCGGCACAUCUCCGAUCGAGUGUCCAGAGGCAGGCAAAGGGGCCUCUCCUCUUGCCCCCUCGCCUCUCGCUGGCCAAGUGCCCAUUUCUAAACCUGGUGCUGGCGAGGACGGGGCCGCCUCGAUGCCUUGGCUUUGAGGAGGUCCACGUGUUGCCUCAGCCGGAUUCUGGCUGCCUGGGCAGAAGGUAGGGGACCCCAUCAUCGCCUUGCUGUAAUGCCUCAACCCCAAGGAAGGCAUCGGGACCAGUGGAGCCUCGGUUGAGCUGGAGGACGAUCCCAGAGCCGCUCGGAACCUCCGCAUCUUCAUCUGUACACGGGCUGCCGGCACCCGCAGGCGGCUGUGUCCACACAAAGCACAGUUUGCACCAUUCGAGCCUUCAGUCAGCGUGUGGCGAAUGUCAACUAUCACGAUUAUCCUUACCUCCUUUUCCCCCAAAGUCCUUCCUCUGGUGAAGCUACUCAAUGUGAACGUUUAAACGUUUAACAAUGUUUUUGAUACAAUGUGCUGCUUCAGACCCUAAGGAUUUCAGUUAACGGACUGACGUGCAGCUGUGACCACCAUCCAUCCGCCCCUGUAAUCGCUUCCGUCUUGGAAAACUGAACCUCUCUGCCCACUGACACUAGCUCCCGGCUCCCCCAGC